CAACCCUCAGGGCCCGUCCGCGGGACCUGGUGCUGGGGAUCGGCCUUUACCGGCCGGCCCCGAAAUACAGUGGCGGCACACCCGCGAUCUCCUCUGCGUAGUAGCAAUGCCUCGCAGCUGGAUAGCGGUUGCGCCUCGCCGUAAAACCCCCCAAAUAUAUCAAU
rnacentral:misc_RNA from 1 species